rnacentral:tRNA from 1 species
GGCCAGUUAGCUCAGUGGUUUGAGCGCGGUGCUAACAACAAUGACAAAACUGAGGUCGCGGGUUCGAUUCCCGCUUGGUCC